GAAACCAACGCCUGGUUGGGAGCCGCCGCCGCGGAGGUCUUUGGCCAGUAUCGAUUCCACCUGUCCACAAGCAUGGGGAAUAUCUUUGCAAACCUCUUCAAGGGCCUUUUUGGCAAAAAAGAAAUGUGCAUUCUCAUGGUAGGCCUGGAUGCUGCAGGGAAGACAACAAUUCUAUACAAACUGAAGCUGGGCGAAAUUGUGACCACCAUUCCUAUUAUUGGGUUCAAUGUGGAGACUGUUGAAUACAAGAAUAUCAGCUUCACGGUGUGGGAUGUGGGUGGCCAGGACAAGAUCCAGCCGCUGUGGCGCCACUACUUCCAGAACACCCAAGGCUUGAUCUUCGUAGUGGACAGCAAUGACAGAGAGCAUGUGAACAAGGUCCGUGAAGAGCUCGUGAGGAUGCUAGCUGAAGAUGAGCUCUGAGAUGCUGUUCUCUUGGUGUUUGCCAACAAGCAGGACCUCCCCAAUGCCAUGAAUGCGGCCGAAAUCACGGACAAGCUGGGGCUGCACUCUCUACGCCACAGGAACUGGUACAUUCAGGCCACCUGUGCCACCAGCGGGGACGGGCUCUAUGAAGGACUAGAUUGGCUAUCUAAUCAGCUCCGGAACCAGAAGUGAACCAGACCCCUCCCUCCCCCUCACUUCCUCUUCUCCGCCCUCAGCUUUCCUCUCAUGUGGCAAACGUGCGACUCUGUGGUCCUGAGUGCCAUCAGCUGUCUCCAUGGGUUGGUCACAGUGUGCAUCGCACCGUGCUGUACAUGUGCAGACGCAGCCUGCAGCCAGGUUUUUAUUUAAUGUAAAUAGUUUCUGUUUCCACUGAGGCAGUUUCUGGU